GCCACUGUGGUGUAGUGGUUUGAGUGCUGGACUAUUAUUUUGGAGACCAGGGUUCAAAUACCAGCUCGGCCA